UUGCCGUUCGCGCUGACCAAUAGGAGUGGUGGCCGUCACGGCAAGCCCCGCCCCACGCCCUACGUCGCGUUAAAUGGGGUCCCUCGCUAGCUCCGAGCUGGUCUUACGCCAUGUGGAGCUGUGGCGCGCGGAAGGGGUUGAGUUCGCUGAGGCGGCUGAGCGGCGGCAUGCACACCACAGAGCGUGGCGAUGGAACAGUAACCGGGCUUGUGAGAGGGCUCUACACUAUCAACUAGGAGACAAGAUCACGGAUUCACCAUAAACCAGGACAGGGAUAAAGACGUGCACACCUGCAGUGCGGACUUUCACAGCCUGGCAAUGAGGGCUUUCAGCCUCACAGGUAAAUGUCACCUGUUUCACCACCUC